UACGGAGGGUGCAAGCGUUAUCCGGAUUCACUGGGUUUAAAGGGUGCGUAGGUGGGUUGGUAAGUCAGUGGUGAAAUCCCCGAGCUUAACUUGGGAACUGCCAUUGAUACUAUCAGUCUUGAAUACCGUGGAGGUCAGUGGAAUAUGUCAUGUAGCGGUGAAAUGCAUAGAUAUGACUUAGAACACCAAUUGCGAAGGCAGCUUACUAAACAGUUAUUGACGCUGAGGCACGAAAGCGUGGGGAUCAAACAGG
rnacentral:rRNA from 1 species